rnacentral:lncRNA from 1 species
UUCUAGUACUCGCCCAGUGCGCGAUGCUUCUUAUAACGUUAAAAUCCAUUAUCCAUUAAUAACUUUCCAAUUGUGAGACGGAAUGAAGGGAAACGACGCCCACAAAACCCUUCUGAAGUCACUGGAUUCGGAUAGGACAAGUUGUACGCCUUCUAAAACGGCGAUAGAAAUACAGGUCGGUGCAGCAUUCCGAAAGACGCAGAUGACAUCUCCACGACCUAGUCCAACGCAUCCCAUGAAAAUUAGGGUUUCCAAUGCAGCUGUUAAAAGAAAGAAUAUUCUAACUUUCCCCAUGUGAAAACAAAGUGAAGAACAACGAACUCUGAUGCGGAAACAGAAGGAAGUGUAGGUUUACCUGGGAUUCAGUGCGAAACAAGACAGAAUCGCUGGAAGCACUCACGAAAUCGAUUCAAACCGGGUUUCGGAAUCUGUGCUCCGCGGAGGCUUUUGGCUGCCGAAUCUGCUGCGCCUGAUUUGGCAGGAUUAGCCCACAUCACUUAGUCAGACAGUCAACACCAAAGAUCUGAGCAGAGCUCGCAUCUAAUUUCGUGCAAGUGGACAAAAACCGCGAUGCUCUGAUGAACAAGACGACGACAGGGAUUGGCGAAAACAACAACCCACAACACUGCUAAGGUCUGAGUGACUAAAGCUAAUUUUUCUUUGCUUUCUGAUGAGAGAGAGAGAGAGAGAUGUAUGUUUGGCGU